CUUGGUGAUUAUUGCGAGAGGGUUCCACCCGUUCCCAUUCCGAACACGGUCGUUAAGCCUUUCAGCGCCGAUGAUACUACUACACGGUGGGAAAGUAGGUCGUUGCCGAGA
rnacentral:rRNA from 1 species